UUUCCGUAGGUGAACCUGCGGAAGGAUCAUUAAAGAAUUGGCUUCGGCCGUCUUAUCAUCAACCAUGUGAACUUGUUUUUGAUUUUGGCGGGACGCAGCAUUAUGCUGCCUCGGCUCACGAGUGCGCCCGCCAAAGGUUUUUUUAAACAUUGAUGUCUUGAAUGUCUUUUUCUAAACCAAAAAGAAAACUUUCAACAACGGAUCUCUUGGCUCUCGCAUCGAUGAAGAACGCAGC
rnacentral:misc_RNA from 1 species